GUAUCUACGUUCGGAUUGGAUAAGUGCUGAAAGCAUCUAAGUACGAAGCCAGCCUCAAGAUUAGAUCUCCCUUAAGGGUUGUUGUAGACUACGACUUUGAUAGGACGCAGGUGUAAGUGCAGUAAUGUAUGUAGCCGAGCGUUACUAAUAGCCCGUGACUUUUCUGAU
rnacentral:rRNA from 1 species